UUUUUUUUUCUUUUCUAAACUCCAUUUUUCACGAGCAACCAAUUUUUCAGGAUAUGCCCACUCCUGAUAUGUCCGCGACUAUUUUAAAAAAUAACUCAUUCGCAGUCCUUGCUUCUACAUUUCUUCAGGUACCGAUUGACGCGUCGAAAUUGAACGCAUCGUUCUUAUAAAAAUCGAUUCGAUACAAAAAUAAGCACGUAUUUACUUUGUUUCGACGAAGUGGGAAGACUUAAAACGUUUUCGAAAAAGGAUUUGCAUGUCGAUAUCGAUACACGCGCUAUUCUUCUUAAUGAAAAUUUUUUAUCUAGCAUUUUGAAAGAUAAAAAAUCAGAAAUUUGUAUCACUUUCUUUAUUAGAAAAAAUAAAUUUAAAGAAAGCAUGUAGAUUACUAUUGAUGAAUAUAAACUUGAAAAUAUCGUCAAAAUUUUUAUCCUUAUUCUAUCUAUCAAAAUUUGAGCUAUAAAAUUGUCAGUUUCUCUAACGAAACCAUCAAAUUUCAUCGUAAUUGCAAGAAGAUACAAAUUUCUAAAGUAAAAUUACAUAAUAAAGGUUAAAAAUUGAAUCAAUUUCAAUGUAUCUUAUAUAUCAUAAUAUAACAUUUAUAUUAUACGCAAUAUAAAUGUUAUAUUAUUAUAUAUAAUUGAAAAACAAAAAAUAAUUAUAUAAUGAUAGAUAAAAUAUUUUAAUUAAAGAGAACGGCCCAUGAAAGUGAAGAGCAUCAUCAUGCAAUGUAACGUGUAUUUACGUUAUUUUCGUAUCGAGUCGACAGAGAAACGAAAAAAAAAAAAAACUCAUCUUGGCUUUGACAGUGCACUCCGUUAGGCAAAAGAAGAAGGGACUGCGAACUUAUCGAGAACUUACUACUUACAUACAUAUUUAACAAACACGCAGUCUUAUCAAAUAGAACCCGUGAACGAACUCUGACAAGUAAAAAGACACAAUGGAAAAAUUCAUAUUUCAAUUUUCUACGAUCGCCAUUUAGUAAAAAGUCGGUUGACGUGGAUAAGGACGGAGGUGGCUAACUAGGAACUGCGAGGCACUGCAAAAAGGUAAGAACAUGAGCAGCGAUUUUUUUCUUUUUUUUUUCUUUUCUUUACUGGCAAUCUAAUGCCGCAGUCUCAAAAAAUGAAACGUGUAUUGCUUUCUUUCUCUAUCUAAAUUCUUUCUCUUCUUUCUCUUUUCUAAAUAGUUUAAAUGUCCUAUAUAUAUAGGGAAAAAUAUGAUAGUUUUUAAAAUUCUCAAGUAUUUCGAAUUACAAAACGCAAGAAACGUUCCAUUUUCGUGCAAACAACUAUUGACACAUCUAAAAGUGAAG